rnacentral:rRNA from 1 species
UACAGAGGGUGCGAGCGUUGUCCGGAAUCACUGGGCGUAAAGGGCGCGUAGGUGGCGACCCAAGUCGAUGGUGAAAGCUCGCCGCUCAACGGCGAGUCGGCCACCGAUACUGGGUUGCUUGAGCACUGUAGAGGCUAAUGGAAUUCCUGGUGUAGCGGUGAAAUGCGCAGAUAUCAGGAGGAACACCGGUGGCGAAGGCGGGUCUCUGGGCCGAUACUGACGCUGAGGAGCGAAAGCGUGGGGAGCGAACAGG